UGGGGAAUAUUGCACAAUGGGGGAAACCCUGAUGCAGCGACGCCGCGUGAGCGAUGAAGUAUUUCGGUAUGUAAAGCUCUAUCAGCAGGGAAGAAAAUGACGGUACCUGACUAAGAAGCCCCGGCUAACUACGUGCCAGCAGCCGCGGUAAUACGUAGGGGGCAAGCGUUAUCCGGAUUUACUGGGUGUAAAGGGAGCGUAGACGGAGCAGCAAGUCUGAUGUGAAAGGCGGGGGCUCAACCCCGCAGCUGCAUUGGAAACUGUUGAUCUUGAGUACCGGAGAGGUAAGCGGAAUUCCUAGUGUAGCGGUGAAAUGCGUAGAUAUUAGGAGGAACACCAGUGGCGAAGGCGGCCUACUGGGCACUAACUGACGCUGAGGCUCGAAAGCAUGGGUAGCAAACAGGAUUAGAUACC
rnacentral:rRNA from 1 species